rnacentral:rRNA from 1 species
GACGAACGCUGGCGGCGUGCUUAACACAUGCAAGUCGAACGGAAAGGCCCCGUUGGGGGUACUCGAGGGGCGAACGGGGGAGUAACACGUGAGUAACCUGCCCUUGACUUCGGGAUAACGUCAGGAAACUGGGGCUAAUACCGGAGAGGAAUCCUUUCUGCAUGGUGGGGGUGGGAAAGCUUCGGUGGUUCUGGCUUGACGCGUGGCCUAUCAGCGUGUUGGUGGGGUAGUGGUUUACCAAGGCUUUGACGGGUAGCCGGCCUGGGAGGGCGACCGGCCACAUUGACACUGAGAUUCAGCCCAGACUCCUACGCGUGCCUGCAGUGGGGAAUGUUGAUCUAUGGCCGGGAGCCUGAUGCAGCAACGCCGCGUGCGGGAUGACGGCCUUGGGGUUGUAAACCGAUUUCAGCAGGGGCGAAGCUUGUGGUGACGGUACCUGCAGAAGAAGCACCGGCUAACUCCGUG